UCAGUAACGGCGUAGUGAAGCGGCAAAAGCUCAAAUUUGAAAUCUGAGGCUUUCAGCCCCCGAGUUGUAAUUUGAAGAUGGUGUUCUGGCGCCGGCCCCCUGUCUACGUUCCUUGGAACAGGACAUCACAGAGGGUGAGAAUCCCGUCUGGCGGGGCGGCCUGGCUCCGUGUAGAGCGCCAUCGACGAGUCGAGUUGUUUGGGAAUGCAGCUCUAAGUGGGUGGUAAAUUCCAUCUAAAGCUAAAUAUUGGCGAGAGACCGAUAGCGAACAAGUACAGUGAUGGAAAGAUGAAAAGAACUUUGAAAAGAGAGUGAAAAAGUACGUGAAAUUGUUGAAAGGGAAGGGUAUUGGAUCAGACUUGGUGCUGUGCGAAUAGCGGCUCUUCUUGGGCCGCCCACUCGCACUCCACCGGGCCAGCAUCGGUUUGGGCGGCAAGACAAUGGCGGGGGAACGUGGCACUGCUCUCGGGCAGUGUGUUUAUAGCCCCCGCUGAUGUUGCCUGCCUAGACCGAGGACUGCGGCUUCUGCCUAGGAUGCUGGCGUAAUGAUCCAACACCGCCCGUCUUGAAACAUGGACCAAGGAGUCUAACGUCUAUGCGAGUGUUUGGGUGUAAAACCCGUACGCGUAAUGAAAGUGAACGUAGGUGAGGGCCCUUUCUGGGUGGAUCAUCCA
rnacentral:rRNA from 1 species